UAGAAAAAAAAUGAGCGGUACCCUUUAUUUUUCAUUUUUUUUAACAUCUCAUUCUAAUCCAUCUCCUCCUCUCAUUCUUGCUCAAAUACCCAUUCUCUCUCUGAAUGAGUUUAGAUUAUACAAUCAAUGGAGUCGCCUUCAUUAUUAACAGCGUCAUCCUCUGAAUCAAUCAUCAUCAUCGAUAAAUACCAUCAUCUGAAUCACAAGCAACAUCAUCAAAUGAAUCGAGAGUUCGAGAGCGAAGGAAUAAUAGCAUACGGUACUACUACGGUGUUCAUUACUUCAUUAUAUCUUUGGUUAUACAGUUCAUCAAUUCGUUGUUGCCUUGCGAAAUUCAUCACAAAAUCAGUAUUUUUCGUUCAAUUUGCCAUCUAGGGUUUCAUUCGUCACAAAUUCGCCAUCUGGGGUUUCAAUUGUCACAAAAUCACAAAUACAGUUGAAUUAGUCAUCUCUGAUUUCAUCUAAUUCGCGCUUCCAAUCAGUUUUGAGCUGAGUGGUUUUAAGUGCUUGGGCAGCAGGCGACUUAUACGUGCCGGCUUCAAUUCACUAAGGAUCUGGAGAAAAUCAGGGGGAAGGAAGUGCUAGCUGCAAACACAGAAGAAAUUGUUCGCGUAGAGUCUAGUUCAGCUGUUCAAUCCCAGUUUGUGGACACGAAAAUGGUCUCUUAUCCCAGAAUAGCUGUUGAAACUCAGCAAAAUAGAUUUUCCACUGUGAUAAGUGCCGCACUUGCAACUACGGCUGCAGUUAGCACAAGUACUCCCAAUGUUUUUUCUAGCUAGCUAGCUGCUGCUAUGUGCUAUUGUUACUACUGUUUGCUGCAACCGCGCUGACUGUUUUUUAGAGAUUAAAGGUCUAAAAGAGACUGAAGUUCACUUUCUUUUUAUUUUGAUUAUUAGAUUAAAAAAAUUGGUGUUUAUGGAUGUUUUUUGUAAGAACUAUGAAAUUAAUUUCAAUUCAAAUUAUUGACUAUUA